rnacentral:rRNA from 1 species
UCAUUAUCCAUCCAAACCAGCUGCGGUCGCGGCCCCACGCUUACCCGUGGCGGUACGCGCCGCACGUCUGCACCCUUUUUUUACGAGUACCUUCGUUCUCCCUCGGCAGGGCAACCUGCCGUUGGAACCAUACAAAACCUUUUUUUGCAUCUAGCAUUACCUGUUCUGAUACAAACAAUCGUUACAACUUUCAACAAUGGAUCUCUUGGCUCUGGCAUCGAUGAAGAACGCAGCGAAAUGCGAUAAGUAGUGUGAAUUGCAGAAUUCAGUGAAUCAUCGAAUCUUUGAACGCACAUUGCGCCCCUUGGUAUUCCAUGGGGCAUGCCUGUUCGAGCGUCAUCUACACCCUCAAGCUCUGCUUGGUGUUGGGCGUCUGUCCCGCCUCUGCGCGUGGACUCGCCUCAAAAUCAUUGGCAGCGGUCCUUGCCUCCUCUCGCGCAGCACAUUGCGCUUCUCGAGGGGCGUGGGUCGCGUCCACGAAGCAACAUUACCGUCUUUGACCUCGGAUCAGGUAGGGAUACCCGCUGAACUUAAGCAUAUCAAUAAGCGGAGGA